GGAGACACUUUUCAAUAUUUUGCCAGAACAAUUUCCAGAUACUACAAUCAAUAGAAAUGCAACGGAACGACAAGCUUAUUCAACCUUGUGAAACAAGCCACAACGAUGACAAAAUGGAAUAUGCAAUUAGCAAAGGUAACAUAAAUAAGCCUUCCUCUGUGCACAUGAAAAUAACAGUACAUUCAACGAACAUUGAAAAAUGGGAAAAUUCGGACUUCACUAUUUUUUAUUUCAAGUAGUGUAA
rnacentral:lncRNA from 1 species